GCAAGUCGAGGGGUAACGGGGGUGCUUGCACCCGCCGACGACCGGCGCACGGGUGCGGAACGCGUAUGGAACCUGCCCCUGUCAGGGGAAUAGCCCAGAGAAAUUUGGAUUAAUGCCCCAUGGCAUCAUAUGGACACAUGGCCACGGGAUUAAAGAUUGAGCGGACAGGGAUGGGCAUGCGGACCAUUAGUUAGUUGGUGGGGUAACGGCCCACCAAGGCAGCGAUGGUUAGGGGCCCUGAGAGGGGGAUC
rnacentral:rRNA from 1 species